CUCACCAAGGCGACGAUCAGUAGCUGGUCAGAGAGGACGAUCAGCCACACUGGGACUGAGACACGGCCCAGACUCCUACGGGAGGCAGCAGUGGGGAAUUUUGGACAAUGGGCGAAAGCCUGAUCCAGCAAUGCCGCGUGUGUGAAGAAGGCCUUCGGGUUGUAAAGCACUUUUGUCCGGAAAGAAAUGGCUCUGGUUAAUACCUGGGGUCGAUGACGGUACCGGAAGAAUAAGGACCGGCUAACUACGUGCCAGCAGCCGCGGUAAUACGUAGGGUCCAAGCGUUAAUCGGAAUUACUGGGCGUAAAGCGUGCGCAGGCGGUUGUGCAAGACCGAUGUGAAAUCCCCGAGCUUAACUUGGGAAUUGCAUUGGUGACUGCACGGCUAGAGUGUGUCAGAGGGGGGUAGAAUUCCACGUGUAGCAGUGAAAUGCGUAGAGAUGUGGAGGAAUACCGAUGGCGAAGGCAGCCCCCUGGGAUAACACUGACGCUCAUGCACGAAAGCGUGGGGAGCAAACAGUAUUAGAUACCCUGGUAGUCCACGCCCUAAACGAUGUCAACUAGUUGUUGGGGAUUCAUUU
rnacentral:rRNA from 1 species